rnacentral:rRNA from 1 species
UACGUAGGGUGCAAGCGUUAAUCGGAAUUACUGGGCGUAAAGCGUGCGCAGGCGGUUGUGCAAGACCGAUGUGAAAUCCCCGGGCUCAACCUGGGAAUGGCAUUGGUGACUGCACGGCUAGAGUGUGUCAGAGGGGGGUAGAAUUCCACGUGUAGCAGUGAAAUGCGUAGAUAUUGGGAGGAACACCAGUGGCGAAGGCGGCUCACUGGACCGGUACUGACGCUGAGGCGCGAAAGCGUGGGUAGCAAACAGG